AUGAUAUCGUUCUUCUCAAAACUCUCUUUGAAUAACUCACAAAAACAAACAGUGGAGCUCGCGAAGCCUGCUUAUAUGGACAAAAGUGCGACCCUACAGGAGUUAGGAUAUAAAGAUGAGAACGACCUGAAAGAGACAAUAUACGGUUUGUUUUGAUCAGUUUUCGUGUUGUUUUGGACUAAUUGGGUUGGUUGUUGUGGCUUUAACGUGUGUGUUGGUGUUUUAGACUUUUUGCGGACGAUACGGGACCCUGAAAAGCCGAGUACACUUGAAGAUUUAAAGGUGGUUUAUGAAGAAGGGAUUUUUGUGAAGGAGCCUACAGCUGAUAAAGUUCCCGUGUUGCGAGUGGAAUACAAUCCGACAGUGCCCCACUGUUCGCUGGCGACGCUCAUCGGGCUGUGCAUACGGAUCAAGAUACAGCGAUCUAUACACCAUCCUGUCAAAUUGGAUAUUUAUAUCAAGAAAGGCGCACAUACCACUGAAGAUGAAAUCAACAAACAAAUCAACGACAAAGAAAGGAUCGCCGCCGCAAUGGAGAAUCCGAACUUGAGGAAUCUCGUUGAAAACUGCAUCGCUGACGAGGAAUAAAUACUAGCACAAUGGCGCCCGACGCAGCAUUCUCAAACAUAAGCGACAAAAACGAAUUCACAAAGUUCACCAAAUUCUUAGCGUAUAAAGGUGUUCAGGUUAUAGUAGAAUCAAGGAAAGGGGUUAAAAUAGAACCGAAUAGUAAACCGCAAUCGUCAGAUACAGAUUGGUUCAACCUCCAAAUACCAGACACUCCUGAGGUCAACCAAGCAACUAAGAAUGCUCUUCCUUCUGAUAGAGUUCUUGAGACCAUCCGCUCACAGCUACACGUCGAAAUAUCUGUACAAACUGAAGAUGGAGAUGAAAUGGUACUCGAAUUAUGGACUCUGGAAUUAGACGAGACUCAAUUUGACACCUCGUUGAAAGCAAUGAACACAGUAUAUUUCCGUAUGGGGAUCUUAUUGAAGUCUCUAAUCACAGUCACGAGAAUAACUCCCGCAUAUCAUUUGUCGAGGAAACAGAGAACAGAGUCUUUUACAAUAUUCUAUAGAGUUUACAAUGGAGAACCAAAAAUGAAAGCUUUAGGUGAAUCUGUUAAGAAAAUACAGGCUGGGAUGCUGAAGACUCCUUUAGGAGCUAUAUGCUUCUCAGUUUCAUACAGAACCAACUUUUCCAUAUCUCCAAAUAGAACGGAGAAAAACAAAUUGCUCUUACUAAAGAGCGACCACUUCGAACUAAGUCCAAAACACGUAAUUUUCGAGUCGAAAAAAAAGAAGGAUCCAAAAAAGGAACCUAAGCCUUUUGGUCCCGUUGAUUUGAAUAGGCCCUUACGUUUAGCUGCCUUUGUCGAUGAAAACGUCAUAAAGCAAGCAUUUGACGACUUUUUCACUAAGAUCCCUGUACCCAAAGGUAGGAAACGACCAAAAACUCCACUCAGGACUAGCCCUAUAGAGCUCAAAAGUACUCAAGAGCUAGAUAUCACGACGUUAUCCAAAAGUCCGACAUCUUUAGAAAUGCCGCCAAAAAAGUUCUCAGGGUUCAGAAAUGAGAACGAACCACCAUUGAAACUUCUUCACUUUCCUUUCGCUGAUCACCACCCAAUCAGAGAGCUUGCGGAGUUUUACAAGGACUUCUUCAACGCUCCACAUUUGAAAUUAGCCGACGAUCUUGUCCGAUCGAAGUCGAGAAGUCCCGAAUCGGUGAAGGAGAUGGAACUGGCCAGCGAGGAUUUGUCAAAAGAUCUGGAGUUGUAUGAGAACUCUGUGCUGGAAUUUGAUGAGUUGCUUGCUGAUAUGUGUAGAUCGGCCGAAUGGAGUGGGAAUUGAGGGAACAAAGUAUUGCCACAAAAUGUCGGUAUGGCUCUGAUCCUAUUGAGUAUAUAAGCCUACACAAAAACUACCAGAAUGGUUAAAAUUGAAGAGAAUUUCACUGUCAAAGGUGUGGAGAUGUUCCAUAUUUUGUGGCACAAAUGAAGGUUGAAGACUGAUUUAUCUGGACGAUUUUAUAGUUUCGAAUAUAAGGGAUGGAGUGAUUGACAAUGGACUGUGUAUGAUUUUGUUUCACUGAACUGAACUAUAUUACAAAGUGUUUAUCAAUGAUGUUGUAAAUAGUAAUAGCUGGUCUAAUGAGUUUUGCUAAGAUGUUAUGUUUUACGUAAAAUAUUCUAUAAUGUUCAAUGUAUGUGUACACAAACAAUAGAAAUAUAUAACAAUAGACUCUGAAAUUGUAAUUUAUUCUGAUAAUAUUAAGAUUGCCUUAAAUGUCGCGUAAUUUAUAAUUACACUGCUCUCCAUAAUUGAUGUCUAUGAAAUUAUCACUACAUGUUGUCAAUGUUUACUUAAUUUUAUUUUGUUUCGGUGUAUGGUUCCAAAAAUGCAGCAAAACCUGCUCAAUAUUAGUUGUAUAUAUUUGUUUAAUAUAUAUUUUAGUUUGCCACGUUUUCCACUUAUUUUUAAUUUACCUAUUAUACUUUUAGUGCCUAACAAGGUAACUGGGAUGGUUCACACCAAAAAUAGUCGACUGAUUGAGAGUAGGUUCAUUUUAUGGAGUCUCAGUAGAAACUCCAGAAUUUGUGAUUAGAUUUUUGUGCCUUGUGAAGAAGUAUGGGAAAUCUCGGGUUUUGCAUUGAGAGAGAUUUGUUACUUGGUGUGAACCGACCUUAAAUGUGUUAUCGGGAAAUAAAAUGGACCGACUGAUUUUCUCGUUCCAUUGGUUUGUAAUAGACUAAACAACGAAAAUAAUGGGGUAGCAGAGAAAAAGAUGAAUUCAGGUUCAGGUUUUUAAGUAAGAACAAGAUUAAAAAGACUCCUCUCUGUCUGCUCUCUCUUUCUUUUGGUUUUUAUAAGAAUUCAGCUCACUCACAAGAAGUUACCUAUCUAUUUCAGUGGUUAUUCUUUGGAUGACUGCUGUAAAUAAUAACUGAGUCAUUGCUGAAAAGUAAACAGUUUAAUUCUCUUUCAAUUAAUUUCAAUAAAGCAAUUUAAGCCACAAAAAAUAUUGCUUUUAGCUGAGUGGAUUUUUUUGCUUCCAAGUGUAAUGUAAUUUGUUUUGAUCACCAUUUUCCGAUUUGACUGAUAAUAACAUGUUUUUAGAGUUCCUUAUUUUACUGUAAAUAGAUUUUUAUUAUAAUUAAUAAUGGUUUAAUUUCGUAUUCCUAAUUAUUGUAACUUGUGGUACAAACUUGAGUUUUGCUAAAAAAAUGAAAUAGCAAAACAAAUUCAAAAUGUUUUACUGUGAAUGAAUAACUAAAGAUUUUUAGUUUAAAUCGUAGAAUUAAUUUGCUCACGUUAUUUUUUGUAGAUAGAUAAUGGUAUAAAAUCUAUGAAUAAAGAUAUUUACCAAUUCA